AGAGUUUGAUCAUGGCUCAGAGCGAACGUUAGCGGCGGGCCUAACACAUGCAAGUCGAACGAGAAUGUAGACUUCCUACUAGUAAAGUGGCGGACGGGUGCGUAACACGUGGGUAAUCUACCUUCCGGCGGGGGACAACAGUCCGAAAGGAUUGCUAAUACCGCAUACGUCAGCGGCGCCUACGGGCGCUGUUGGGAAAGAUGGCCUCUCCUUGGAAGCUGUCACCGGAAGAUGAGCCCGCGUCCCAUCAGCUAGUUGGUGAGGUAACGGCUCACCAAGGCUUAGACGGGUAGCUGGUCUGAGAGGAUGAUCAGCCACACUGGGACUGCGACACGGCCCAGACUCCUACGGGAGGCAGCAGUGGGGAAUAUUGGGCAAUGGGCGGAAGCCUGACCCAGCCACGCCGCGUGAGUGAUGAAGGCCUUCGGGUCGUAAAGCUCUGUGGGGAGGGACGAAUAAGUCUGGUGUUAAUAACACCGGGCCCUGACGGUACCUCCUUAGCAAGCACCGGCUAACCCUGUGCCAGCAGCCGCGGUAAUACAGGGGGUGCAAACGUUGCUCGGAAUCAUUGGGCGUAAAGCGCACGUAGGCGGUUCGUUAUGUCGGAUGUGAAAGCCCUUGGCUUAACCGAGGAAGUGCAUCCGAAACUGGCGAGCUAGAGUACUAAAGAGGAUCGCGGAAUUCCCGGUGUAGAGGUGAAAUUCGUAGAUAUCGGGAGGAACACCGGUGGCGAAGGCGGCGAUCUGGGUAGAUACUGACGCUGAGGUGCGAAAGCGUGGGGAGCAAACAGGAUUAGAUACCCUAGUAGUCC
rnacentral:rRNA from 1 species